AUUGAACGCUGGCGGCAUGCUUUACACAUGCAAGUCGAACGGCAGCGCGGGCUUCGGCCUGGCGGCGAGUGGCGAACGGGUGAGUAAUGCAUCGGAACGUGCCCAGUAGUGGGGGAUAGCCCGGCGAAAGCCGGAUUAAUACCGCAUACGACCUGAGGGUGAAAGCGGGGGACCGAAAGGCCUCGCGCUAUUGGAGCGGCCGAUGUCGGAUUAGCUAGUUGGUGGGGUAAAGGCUUACCAAGGCGACGAUCCGUAGCUGGUCUGAGAGGACGACCAGCCACACUGGGACUGAGACACGGCCCAGACUCCUACGGGAGGCAGCAGUGGGGAAUUUUGGACAAUGGGGGCAACCCUGAUCCAGCCAUGCCGCGUGCGGGGAGAAGGCCUUCGGGUUGUAAACCGCUUUUGUUCGGGAAGAAAUCCUCUGGGCUAAUACCCCGGGGGGAUGACGGUACCGGAAGAAUAAGCACCGGCUAACUACGU
rnacentral:rRNA from 1 species